rnacentral:tRNA from 1 species
UGGGGAGUCGCCAAGUGGUAAGGCAACGGACUUUGACUCCGUCAUUCGUAGGUUCGAUCCCUACCUCCCCAG